CAUAGAUGCCGCACCCUGGCUUGUGGGCUGCGUCAAUACCGCCGCCAUCUUGCCUAAGUGCUCUGACCUGUUCAGACCCAUGUCAGACUCGGCAAAAAUGCCACAUUUUUGCUCUGCAUUUGGGUGUACGAACGAAAGAAGUGUUAAAACCAAGCAGAAGGGAAUAACAUUCCACAGUUUCCCAAAAAACACAGAUAGGAGACGGGCAUAGGUAGCAGCAGUGAGGAGAACGGACUUUGUCCCGAGUGACUCCUCAGUCAUCUGCAGCUGUCACUUCAGACCUGAGGACUUCGACAGGACUGGGCAGACUGUCCGUUUUAAGGGACGGAGUGACUCCUUCUGUAUUCAGUUUUCCCGAGCAUCUCUGCAAAAAAUAAUAGUUGCUGAAGGCCGGUGUGGUGGUGGCAGUGUCUGUGACUGGUGGUGGUGUCGUCCCGUUUUGUGUGCUGUGCUUCCCUGGGGCUGGUUACUUCACUGAGUGUCCGUCACGUGUGUGGGUGAUAAGUUGGUUUGCUUUCUUAUAUUUUGAGGAUCACUCCCCCUUCACUGGCACUUGUCCACCCAAACGCCUCAGCUUCUGAUUAGGCCCCCCUCCCCUUCCUGUGUGAAUGGUUUUGAUAACUUAAUUAUUGUUAAAUAAAAUUGAUGCUUU